GACAGAGGGUGCAAACGUUGUUCGGAAUUACUGGGCGUAAAGCGCGUGUAGGCGGCACUACAAGUCGGAUGUGAAAUCCCGCGGCUUAACCGUGGAAGUGCACCCGAAACUGUAGAGCUAGAGUCCCGGAGAGGAUGGUGGAAUACUUGGUGUAGAGGUGAAAUUCGUAGAUAUCAAGUGGAACACCGGUGGCGAAGGCGGCCAUCUGGACGGUGACUGACGCUGAGACACGAAAGCCAGGGGAGCAAACGGG
rnacentral:rRNA from 1 species